UGAAAAAAGUGAUUUUGGAGAGUGGUAAAUAUAAUCUGUGGAAACCAUAUAAAAUGUACAUGAUUAUUGCAGCUAGCCAACGAAUACUAACGUAAUGGGUAAAUUCUACAUAUGCUACCCAUUCGUCAACAGUAAGAACCAUCACAUAGAAAAAUGCAGUAAAAUGUACCCCCAAACCGUGAGUUUUUUGCUUCAAAUUGCACAUGCGUCAGGACGUGUUUUUGAGUGAGUGUGGGCGACGCUGGAUCCUCUCUCUGGCUGCCAUCGAACAGCAAAAGUGAAGUGAUGAUCUGUGUCCAUUUUGCGUAUUAAACACCCACCCGAAUAACCAAAGGUGGCAGAGUCUGUGGACACAAUUUGCCCUAUCUUCAGUUCCUCUUGUCUGUCCUCCACAAGCAGAGACUCACUGAUAGACCACUGUUACCAGUUCUAGUGUUUACACAUCCACCCACGUCCCCACCACAAGUGUAUCCUGUACAGACACAGAACAUUGAGGGAAAAAAAGAGAUGCUGUUGUCUGCUGCCUCAUUAACUACCUCGGUGAAAGACAAGAAGAUCUUUUUCAUGACUGCCAGUAGGAAUGUGAGGACUACACAGACAGAACAAAGAAGGUGAUUGUGAAGCACAAUGUCAUGGCUGAGGAGGAUCCAUCAGAUUUGUCUAUUGUGAUCCAGAGAAAACUAAGUGAUGGAAGGAUGUGGAAGCCGAACAAAGGCAUGCAUACUGCUGAUGGGACUCAUUUAUGCAAUCAACAUCGAAUAUCCAAAGGAGCUGAAGAACACGUUUGAAGCUUUUCAAAAACUUUUUUUUGGAAAUUGAUGGAGAAAAACUACUGAAAAAGGUCCACAGCCUCAAAAAUAAGCUCAUGCAGUAGACACACAUUUUCCCUCUUGUUCGAAGAGGAUCUUUUGUCUGGACAUACUUUUAAUGGAGUUGUAAUGGAGUGUAGUUUUAUAUUUUUCUUAUUUUCCCUUAUUUGCUCCACACACAGACACAAAUCCAUCCAGCCCACUCCAUUACUCUGUGAUUUCCCCCAGAUUGACAGAAAAGGAAUACCAAUGCAAAGUUAUAAAACAGGGGCCAUUACUUGAAAUUGUGGUGUAAAGCUGUUGUGCUGCACUAUAUUUUGAGUGUUUCACAGGAUUUUUUGGAUUAAAAAUAUUGAUCUGAUGAGCCAUCUAAAUGUCUUUAUUGUGGGGGGUACAUUUUACCUUUUCUGAAUAAAUAAUUGUUAUUAACUAUUAACUGAUUUGAAGAGAUAAUUUUUACCUAAUUUUAAUGAGUAAGUAGCUGUUGAAUAUAUACAUAAAUGUGAGGUAUUGUUACCCAAUUUAUGCAAGUAUUUAAUAGCUUUUUACUUGAGAUAGCUUAUACUCAAUAUAUGGGAUUAAAUCUACCCCACCAAAGUCGAUGCAAAUUGUUACCUCACAU